CAAACCAAUCAUUGAUGAGAAGGAUAGUUUCUGCAGCCUUUAAACAUUAAAAGAUAAAAUUAAAAUAGUUUUAAAUUAACUUGUUUACUGUUAAAUACUUCUUUCCAGUUUGAUAGUUGGAAUUCGUUAUUGAGUCCAUCAUAUUCUAUCGCUUUUGAAACUGUCCCGGAGAAAAGUUGGGCUGCAGUCUUAACCUUUUGCCGCUGUGUACCACUAACAUUUAUAUGACAAUCACCGACUUUAAAGAAGGAAGCCAAGAAUCAAGAAAGUUGUUUCUAAUAAGUUUUAACAAAUGCGGGACAUCAGCAAAAACAUGAAUUUUCCUAUCAGGCAUUAGAGAAAGAGCAAAUUAACUAUUUGUAUGAGAAACAUUCAUAGACUUCCAUAAACCCAUGUUUGUUGGACCCAUAUCACUUGUUACAGAUACAACAGUAUAUCCAAUACUAUAUAAGUUGGUGAUAAUCUCUAAUAAUAUGUCACUUGUCAUCGGUGUGUCAUAUUUAUAAUAAACAACUUGUUUCCAUGAUUUAAAAAUACUUCUGGCCAUUACUACUUGAACUGUUUUGUGUGAUCAAAUGACUUGCUGAGAUAUUUUAUCAUAACAGAUGUCAUGAGAUAUGUAAACUUCAUCAAAUGAUAAACUUACUAAUUUUUCAUUUUCAUCUAUAGAAAUACCUGUAAUUUAAUUAAUAUUUUAUUGCACAAUUAAGUAGUGACAUACUACAUAGUUUACUUGCCUUUAGAUUUCAUGAUACCUAACACACCCAUUAAAACGCCUGGUUGAAUUGGAAAUUUUUGGGCCCAAGUUCACAAAGUAGAUAGAUCUAAAAUACAUUUAAAUUAUGAUCAUAAUAGCAGUUGUAUAAGAAAUACUUCACAAACCUGGUAAUGGAUACUUCAAAGAUUCUCUUAAGUAUCUAUAAGCCUUCGGAGAUAUACUUCUUAAAGAAAUUUCUCCUGUAAUGUCAUCUAUUCCCCAUUUAAAUAUUUUUUUUUUGGAUUUAAGAAAUAAUUUAUUUGAGUUCGUGUAAAAAUAUGUGAAAAUAAAUUAAAAACUUUGUCAUUAAAAUUCAUUUUUAAUGUUUCAUUUUCUUCCUGUACUGCAGUUAAGCAUUUUUUAGUUUCCUCAAGUUUUGAAUUAUAAAUAAGAAUUCUUUCAAGUAUAGACACUAGACAGGUUUACAACACAGUAAAAGACAUAAAAUAUUAGAACUUGGAAUACAUGCUUUUGCAUUAAAUACAUUUUUGUACCUUUUUCAGUUAUCAAUUAUAUUUAUGGAUUCAUUUGACUUAAAAUUGUUCAUUAGAGAUCUACUAAUUUUGUUCUUUCUCAUCUCUAUAUCAAUAUGUUGUACCUAAAUUAAAAAUGAAUAUUGAUACAUGUUCAUAUUUGUAUGUUUAUGCAUAUUAUUGUAUACAUUUCUACCUCUAAUGUAUCUUCAGGUUCAUUUAUCUCAAAUUUAUUGUCAUCUUGACAAUUUACAGUUGUCUGUAAUAUUGUAUAUCAAGCAGUUAUAAAACAAAUAAGACUAAAUAAGAUUGAACUCUUUAAAAUACUUUCCUUAAGUGGAGUUAAAUACUUGGUCGGUACAGCACUCGGUUUAAGUUCUCGUUUAUUACUGGGUGAAUACUUAAAACAACCCAACUUUAUUUGUAAUUUACUUGGAGUAAAGUGUUUUGAACAUAUCCGAGCUAUAAUGUUUAUACUUUAUUAUAAUAUAAAAUAAGUGAAGAUAUAAAAAAUUGUAAAAUAUUUUUUUUUCGAUCUUUUAAUUGUAUUGCUUCAAAAUGUAUAUUAUUACCGUACUGCUGUAUCGUUGUUGUGUAUUAUGUUACAAAUAAAUUAUUAAAUAUUA